CCGCCGAUCGAGGUAAAUUUCAUACCCCUGUCUCGUUUUUCAUACUGAGUUUCCUUGUGGCCAAAUCGGAGCCAAAAUCCCGGCCAAACGGCCGAAACUGCCGCGCCCCUCCUCGGUUUUUGCCUCCGAUGAGGCCCUUCUCGGCCUCCGUUUGAUACAAUUUUUAUAUCACCGUGAUCACCAUUCUUUUCUCUACAGGUUGAUCGGAGCCAAAUCACCAAAACACGAACCUCACCUGAGAGCUGCCGCACCCGAGAGC
rnacentral:lncRNA from 1 species